UUCGCCAAACUGUUAUCGCAGUUCUGUCGCUCCGGCGUGGAUUUGUUGGGCAUGGCGGCAAUAUAAAGGGGGGGGACGCUUGUAAGGCUUUUCAGAAGCAGGAUAAUCCUCACCCAAAGUCGAUUCUUCUAUCGACUGAUUGCCAAAGCUUAUCGCCUUAAUGAAGGCACACUUCUAAAGCAUUAAUUUUUUCAAGGGUUCACACACCCACACACACACAGAAUGGAUCUUGCGUUUUGGAUGAAUUCAGCUCGGCACUUAACACCUAAAACUGUCCUUCUUACAAUUUUGUAUUUUCUGAAGUCCUAAGCGUUCGUAGAUCGUAUUCCAACUUUUCUCACCAAAAUUAUAAUGAUCGCAAUGCUAUUAGCAAAGCAUCUGAAUUUUUCGGAAUCGAACAAGUGCUUCGGUAAUUUGUAAAUGGAUACCAUUCAGGCUCAAUACAAGAGGGUUAAGAAGCGUGCCUAAAACAAAAAUUAUUCUUUGUUUUAGUUUAACUUUGAAUUUUUAAAUGUUUAAGAAAAAUCAGAUCAGAGACUCAGAUGCUCGCUAAGAGAUAAGUCAUUUAUAAGUUGUCUUCGAUGAGAAUUUGUAGAAUUUAUAAAUGAAUUCGAUGGCGGCUAAGAAGAGAUUUGUAUGCAUUGUAAGUAUGGCGUGCUGCAAAAUCACAUAAUUAUUUCAUUUUGGCUUUUCAAGAAAGUCGCAAUUGUUUAUUUGAAAGUAAAAUAUUUAUUCAUUAAACAACAAAAAAAAAAAAA